rnacentral:rRNA from 1 species
GACGAACGCUGGCGGCGUGCUUAACACAUGCAAGUCGAACGGAAAGGCCCCUUUGGGGGUACUCGAGUGGCGAACGGGUGAGUAACACGUGAGUAACCUGCCCUUGACUUCGGGAUAACUUCAGGAAACUGGGGCUAAUGCCGGAUAGGAAUCCUUGCUGCAUGGUGGGGGUUGGAAAGCUUCGGCGGUUUUGGAUGGACUCGCGGCUUAUCAGCUUGUUGGUGGGGUAGUGGCUUACCAAGGCUUUGACGGGUAGCCGGCCUGAGAGGGCGACCGGCCACAUUGGGACUGAGAUACGGCCCAGACUCCUACGGGAGGCAGCAGUGGGGAAUAUUGCACAAUGGGCGGAAGCCUGAUGCAGCAACGCCGCGUGCGGGAUGACGGCCUUCGGGUUGUAAACCGCUUUCAGCAGGGGCGAAGCUUGUGGUGACGGUACCUGCAGAAGAAGCACCGGCUAACUACGUG